GUAAAGGACCCAUUGGUACAAGCCAGAAAUACAUCUUCAACCCAGUGACUGUGAAGAAAGUGUUCCAUCCAGGUAACCCUGAAGAACCUGUCAGUGGAAAGUACAAGUGUCGAGCAUCGAACUCGGCCGGAACAAGAGACAGCGAAUGGGGAGAUCUGUAUGUCUAUACACCAUGUUCAUUGUAUACCGUGAGUGUUUCACCACCCACACCUGCCAUCGGAAGUACAUUCACCCUCAACUGUUACAUAUCCAAUCCAAGCGGAUUAUCUGUGUAUUGGUUAAAGAAGGCUGAUGCUUCAUCUCCAGCUAUAUAUGUAGCUGCAGCAAAUAAGUUGGGAUGCCAUGCUCCAAGUAACCCACGUUACAGUUGGAGCAGCUGCAGCCCACCAAGCAUCUCAUCACUGACAAAGACAUUCAAUCUACAAGUCACCAAUGCUCAGCUUUCUGAUUCUGCUUACUGGAUAUGUCAGGAUGUUAGUCUGAGCUGCAACAGUAACCCAGUCAAGCUAGUAGUGCAAGCGCCCCCAGGCACGCCACAGAUCACCGGUUUCCCAUCUGGACCAGUCAUUGCUGGAGCACAGCUCAACUUGAAGUGUGUGGCCUCCCCUCCUGGAGA